rnacentral:pre_miRNA from 1 species
AUAUUCAUCACAUAGGGAUCUUGUUAAAAAGCAGAUUCUGAUUGAGGGACCAAGAUUCUGCAUUUUUAGCAAGCUCUCAAGUGAUGUUAAU